rnacentral:misc_RNA from 1 species
GAUGAAGAACGUAGCGAAAUGCGAUAAGUAGUGUGAAUUGCAGAAUUCAGUGAAUCAUCGAAUCUUUGAACGCACAUUGCGCCCUUUGGUAUUCCUUAGGGCAUGCCUGUUCGAGCGUCAUUUAAACCUUCAAGCUCAGCUUGGUGUUGGGUGACUGUCCGCCGCCUCCGGGCGGUCGGACUCGCCUCAAAUUGAUUGGCGGCCGGUACUUUGGCUUCGAGCGCAGCAGAAACGCGAACUCGAGGCCGUCGUCCUGGCUCCCAGAAGCUAUCUUCACAAUUUUGACCUCGGAUCAGGUAGGGAUACCCGCUGAACUUAAGCAUAUCAAUAAAGCGGAGGA